rnacentral:rRNA from 1 species
UUAAAUUGAAGAGUUUGAUCAUGGCUCAGAUUGAACGCUGGCGGCAGGCCUAACACAUGCAAGUCGAACGGUAACAGGAAGCAGCUUGCUGCUUUGCUGACGAGUGGCGGACGGGUGAGUAAUGUCUGGGAAACUGCCUGAUGGAGGGGGAUAACUACUGGAAACGGUGGCUAAUACCGCAUAACGUCGCAAGACCAAAGAGGGGGACCUUCGGGCCUCUUGCCAUCAGAUGUGCCCAGAUGGGAUUAGCUUGUUGGUGAGGUAACGGCUCACCAAGGCGACGAUCCCUAGCUGGUCUGAGAGGAUGACCAGCCACACUGGAACUGAGACACGGUCCAGACUCCUACGGGAGGCAGCAGUGGGGAAUAUUGCACAAUGGGCGCAAGCCUGAUGCAGCCAUGCCGCGUGUAUGAAGAAGGCCUUCGGGUUGUAAAGUACUUUCAGCGGGGAGGAAGGUGUUGUGGUUAAUAACCGCAGCAAUUGACGUUACCCGCAGAAGAAGCACCGGCUAACUCCGUGCCAGCAGCCGCGGUAAUACGGAGGGUGCAAGCGUUAAUCGGAAUUACUGGGCGUAAAGCGCACGCAGGCGGUCUGUCAAGUCGGAUGUGAAAUCCCCGGGCUCAACCUGGGAACUGCAUUCGAAACUGGCAGGCUUGAGUCUUGUAGAGGGGGGUAGAAUUCCAGGUGUAGCGGUGAAAUGCGUAGAGAUCUGGAGGAAUACCGGUGGCGAAGGCGGCCCCCUGGACAAAGACUGACGCUCAGGUGCGAAAGCGUGGGGAGCAAACAGGAUUAGAUACCCUGGUAGUCCACGCCGUAAACGAUGUCUACUUGGAGGUUGUGCCCUUGAGGCGUGGCUUCCGGAGCUAACGCGUUAAGUAGACCGCCUGGGGAGUACGGCCGCAAGGUUAAAACUCAAAUGAAUUGACGGGGGCCCGCACAAGCGGUGGAGCAUGUGGUUUAAUUCGAUGCAACGCGAAGAACCUUACCUGGUCUUGACAUCCACAGAACUUUCCAGAGAUGGAUUGGUGCCUUCGGGAACUGUGAGACAGGUGCUGCAUGGCUGUCGUCAGCUCGUGUUGUGAAAUGUUGGGUUAAGUCCCGCAACGAGCGCAACCCUUAUCCUUUGUUGCCAGCGGUCCGGCCGGGAACUCAAAGGAGACUGCCAGUGAUAAACUGGAGGAAGGUGGGGAUGACGUCAAGUCAUCAUGGCCCUUACGACCAGGGCUACACACGUGCUACAAUGGCGCAUACAAAGAGAAGCGACCUCGCGAGAGCAAGCGGACCUCAUAAAGUGCGUCGUAGUCCGGAUUGGAGUCUGCAACUCGACUCCAUGAAGUCGGAAUCGCUAGUAAUCGUGGAUCAGAAUGCCACGGUGAAUACGUUCCCGGGCCUUGUACACACCGCCCGUCACACCAUGGGAGUGGGUUGCAAAAGAAGUAGGUAGCUUAACCUUCGGGGGGGCGCUUACCACUUUGUGAUUCAUGACUGGGGUGAAGUCGUAACAAGGUAACCGUAGGGGAACCUGCGGUUGGAUCACCUCCUUACCUUAAAGAAGC